AGGGCACCACCAGGAGUGGAGCCUGCGGCUUAAUUUGACUCAACACGGGGAAACUUACCCGGCCUGGACACUGGAAGGAUUGACAGAUUGAGAGCUCUUUCUUGAUUCAGUGGGUGGUGGUGCAUGGCCGUUCUUAGUUGGUGGAGCGAUUUGUCUGGUUAAUUCCGAUAACGAACGAGACUCUAGCCUAUUAAAUAGGCUCUCGGCUUUUAAACGCCGGGAGGACUUCUUAGAGGGACAGGUGGCGGUUCAGCCGCACGAAAGAGAGCAAUAACAGGUCUGUGAUGCCCUUUGUUGUCCGGGGCCGCACGCGCGCUACACUGAAGAGAUCAGCGUGCUUUACGUUCCUGCUCCGACCGGAGUGGGGAACCCAGUGAACCUUCUUCGUGAUUGGGAUAGAAGAUUGUAAUUAUUCUUCUUGAACGAGGAAUUCCCAGUAAAUGCGAGUCAUAAGCUCGCGUUGAUUACGUCCCUGCCCUUUGUACACACCGCCUGUCGCUACUACCGAUUGAACGAUUU
rnacentral:rRNA from 1 species